rnacentral:lncRNA from 1 species
GAGAAACCAACUUGGUCACCUGGGAGGCCAUAGAGGAGAGCCCGUUGUGACUGCAUGAGUGGAGCUCAGCUGUGGAUGCCCAGCAUGGAUGACUACACCGUCCUGAGAGUGAUCAGGGAGGGCUUCUUUGGCAGAGCUCUUUUGGUUUAGCAGGAAAGCAACAAUCAGAUGUUUUCCAUUUAGAAAAAAAGGCUUCUAAGUCUCCCUCUGAUAGACAGAAUCCUAGGAAAGAGGCUGUUCUGUUAGCCAAAAUGAAACACCCAAUAUUGUUGCCUUUAAAGAAUUCUUUGAGGCUGAAGGACAUCUGUAUGUGAUAGAGUAUUGUGAUGGAGGAGAUCUACUGCAAAAGAUUAAAAAGCAAAGAGGAAAAUUAUUUUCUGUAGCUAUAAUACUUAAUUGGUUUACACAAAUGUGCUUUGGAGUAAACCACAUUCACAAGAAACGUGAGCUACACAGAAAUAUCAAUUAGAGGACAUCUUCCUCACCCAAAAUGGAAAAGUAAAAAUGGAAGAUUUUGGAUCUGCACGUCUUCUCUCCAAUCCCAUGGCAUUUGCUUAUACAUAUGUGGGAACACCUUAUUAUGUGCCUCCAGAGAUUUUGGAAAACCUACCUUAUAAUAAAAAGUGACCUCUGGUCCUUGGGAUGCAUUCUAUAUAAACUCUGUACCCUUAAGCAUUCAUUUCCAGCAAACAGUUGGAAAAGUCUUAUUCUCAAAAUAUGUCAAGGGAUCCACCCACUGCCAUCUCAUUAUUCCUAUGAGUUUUACUACCUUGUCAUGCAGAUGUUCAAAAGGAAUCCUUCACAGUGCCCUUCAGCUACUACUCUGCUCUCCAGAGGCAGUUUAGCUCUCGGCUAGUCCAGAAGUGCUUACUCCCUGAGGUCAUCACAGCAUAUGGAGAAUAAAUUAUUAGAUGAAACCAAAAUGUGUCAGCAUAAUACACCAAGAAAAACCAACCCCGGGAGAAUCACGAUAGCUCUGGGAAAUGAAACAAGCAUGAUGCAAGAGGGAGAAAAAGAAAGUGUAACCAUCCCAAUUUAG